UAGAUACCCUGGUAGUCCACGCUGUAAACGCUGUCGAUUUGGGGGUUGGGGUUUAACUCUGGCGCCCGUAGCUAACGUGAUAAAUCGACCGCCUGGGGAGUACGGCCGCAAGGUUAAAACUCAAAUGAAUUGACGGGGGCCCGCACAAGCGGUGGAGCAUGUGGUUUAAUUCGAUGCAACGCGAAGAACCUUACCUACUCUUGACAUCCUAAGAAGAGCUCAGAGAUGAGCUUGUGCCUUCGGGAACUUA
rnacentral:rRNA from 1 species